AUCGUUCGACGCUGGACUGUGAACAAACAAUUGUUAGUCUGCUCUCUGUUCAGUUCAGCUCCCUGUGCUUAGUACUUCAGCUAGCUCUCGUUUUUGUACUCAUUAUUCCAGCCUGGACUUCCACCUGCUUAAAGCCACUCUGUCAACCACCUCAAGCCUCAGCCGUCCGUUGCCUCUCCGGAUCCUUCCCUGUUCCAGACCAUCCACACUACACCUGGCUCUGGCCGCCACAUGCACCUCACGCCGUCUCCUGCUCCAACCCACGCCACACCACCAUCCUUCCCUGCACCUGCCGACGUCUUCCCCAGCUCGCCACUCAAUUCCCUGUGUGUGUUGGCACAGAGGCUUGGCAGCAGGUGUGGCUGAUCAGUAAUGAGCAGAACGCAAGCUGGUGGGAGUCAUCUGAUCAUCUACUCCGGCUUCCCCAUCAAACCAGACGCCACUCUUUAUUCAACGGCAGGCCGUGAACAAACCUCCAAACUGACUCCUGCUUGCUUGUGUCACCCAGGUCUCCUGUUACCACCACCUGCUUGCUGUCUGAUUCCUCAUCUGGCUGGAUUCCUUGGCUUCUGCUGGUUUUCCGAUCCUCCAAAUACUCACUGUGCUCCUGAAGAAUACACCUGUUGCCAGGCACGCUACUGUAUACACCAGGCCUGCCACCUAGGAUGCCUUUCACGCCACCUUGGAUGCCAGCCCUCCAGUCUUCCUACUACGGAUGCCAAACACACCACCACUGGCUAGCAUAACACCUGGGAAAACUUCGUCCUCCCCAAGACUGGUCAGAACCUGGCCCCAAGUCAGACACUCUCCCAGACACCGUCAGUUAAGUUUCCAAGCCCUAGCAAUACCAGACUUGUUGUUUAAUCCGUUUACUUGUUUAUGCUGUCUAAGCUAAUUGGCUUUUCGUGUACUAUUCUGUAUAGACGCCUGGUUAAAUAUUGUAUUCCUUCGGGUUUGUUUAUCGUUCUUAGCUUUGAGUUAAUCUUUAGUCUUGGGGUUUCUAAUUCAGGAUUGCUGUUGGUCUAGAAUUAUCUGGUUUGGUUGUUCCUGUUUAGUAGUUCUCCUGCCUUGGUGUUACCAUAUGUGGGUUAACUUUGUUUUAUUUUUCCAGUUCUUGUAGUUUGUCCUUCUACCCUCUAGGGGUAUCUAGAUCAGUUCCGCAUUCCACGGCUUAGUUCAUACAUCCAGUUUUCGUAUUUCCGGUAUGUUGUAGUUCUUUGUAUUUUUCCUAUGUUGUAAAUAAAAGCGUUAUUAAACUGUUCA